AAAAGUGGUACCUCUGACUUUUUCAACAGAAUCGUAGCGCAUCCAGAAUUUCAGACACCAAGUUUCAAGAAGGCACAAUGGUUUCCUAGGUUACGCGCCGGUAUAGACACUAAAUUUAUCACAGAAAGAUCCGAUUUUAUAAAUACUAUCCAGAAAGGUAUCGAUAAUCGAAGUAUUAAGUUUUACAUCUCAAUGUUUGAUAGUGCAGCAGACGGCAUUCAGAACUGCACGAGACGGAGGGUCACCACUAAUAAAUGUAUAACUGCGGAAGCCACGCCAGCAAAUCUUCACAUGCACACCGGCUGGAAGCUGAUGCCCGGCAACGAAGGAUUAACGGAACCACGUUAUACCAAUUUUCAUUAUAUCAAACAUUUGACGCCUGAUGUAAAGAUUAUCAUUAUUUUUAGAAAUCCAGUGUCAAGGUAAGUGUCUCUGCUGUUUUAACCCGGUGCUAGGGGGUGGGGUGAAAAGAUAGUUCA